rnacentral:pre_miRNA from 7 species
UUCUCAAUUGAACUCUUUCUGCUAACUCCUAGGGUAGGACCCCCGAUAUGGGGACCCCCACUCUAAUCCAGGGAUAGGGUGCACCCACGAACACGCAAGAAUCU